GACGAACGCUGGCGGCGUGCUUAACACAUGCAAGUCGAACGGAAAGGCCCCUUUUGAGGUACUCGAGUGGCGAACGGGUGAGUAACACGUGAGUAACCUGCCCUUGACUUCGGGAUAACUUCAGGAAACUGGGGCUAAUACCGGAUAGGAAUCCUUGCUGCAUGGUGGGGGUUGGAAAGCUUCGGCGGUUUUGGAUGGACUCGCGGCUUAUCAGCUUGUUGGUGGGGUAGUGGCUUACCAAGGCUUUGACGGGUAGCCGGCCUUGGAGGGCGACCGGCCACAUUGGGACUGGGAUACGGACCAGACUCCGACGGGAGGCAGCAGUGGGGAAUAUUGCACAAUGGGCGGAAGCCUGAUGCAGCAACGCCGCGUGCGGGAUGACGGCCUUCGGGUUGUAAACCGCUUUCAGCAGGGGCGAAGCUUGUGGUGACGGUACCUGCAGAAGAAGCACCGGCUAACUACGUG
rnacentral:rRNA from 1 species